rnacentral:rRNA from 1 species
UACGGGGGGGGGCAAGCGUUGUUCGGAAUUACUGGGCGUAAAGGGCUCGUAGGCGGCCAACUAAGUCAGACGUGAAAUCCCUCGGCUUAACCGGGGAACUGCAUCUGAUACUGGAUGGCUUGAGUUCGGGAGAGGGAUGCGGAAUUCCAGGUGUAGCGGUGAAAUGCGUAGAUAUCUGGAGGAACACCGGUGGCGAAGGCGGCAUCCUGGACCGACACUGACGCUGAGGAGCGAAAGCCAGGGGAGCAAACGGGG